CCUACGGGAGGCAGCAGUGGGGAAUCUUGCGCAAUGGGCGAAAGCCUGACGCAGCCAUGCCGCGUGAAUGAUGAAGGUCUUAGGAUUGUAAAAUUCUUUCACCGGGGACGAUAAUGACGGUACCCGGAGAAGAAGCCCCGGCUAACUUCGUGCCAGCAGCCGCGGUAAUACGAAGGGGGCUAGCGUUGCUCGGAAUUACUGGGCGUAAAGGGAGCGUAGGCGGAUAGUUUAGUCAGAGGUGAAAGCCCAGGGCUCAACCUUGGAAUUGCCUUUGAUACUGGCUAUCUUGAGUACGGAAGAGGUAUGUGGAACUCCGAGUGUAGAGGUGAAAUUCGUAGAUAUUCGGAAGAACACCAGUGGCGAAGGCGACAUACUGGUCCGUUAACUGACGCUGAGGCUCGAAAGCGUGGGGAGCAAACAGGAUUAGAUACCCUGGUAGUCCACGCUGUAAACGAUGAGUGCUAGUUGUCGGCANGNAUGCAUGUCGGUGACGCAGCUAACGACAUAAGUACACUCCGCCGUCGGGGAGGUACGGUCGGCGAAGAAGUUAAAACGUAACUAAAGUUAAGUUAAGUAGUUACGCGUGAGNGCGCGACGGACGACGACGGAGGGAGGAGG
rnacentral:rRNA from 1 species